GGUAGUCUCGCACAGAUGCAUAUCAAUAAGCGGAGGAAAAGAAACUAACAAGGAUUCCCCUAGUAACGGCGAGUGAAGCGGGAAGAGCUCAAAUUUGAAAUCUUAAAGGGUUUCCCUUUACGAAUUGUAGUUUAAAGAAGUGUUUUCUGUUGAGGUUUUGGUAAAAGUUCUUUGGAAUAGGACAUCAUAGAGGGUGAGAAUCCCGUAUUUGACCUUUACUUUCAACUUUGUGAUACACUUUCAAAGAGUCGGAUUGUUUGGGAAUGCAGUCCAAAAUGGGUGGUAAAUUUCAUCUAAAGCUAAAUAUUGGCGAGAGACCGAUAGCGAACAAGUACCGUGAGGGAAAGAUGAAAAGAACUUUGAAAAGAGAGUUAAACAGUACGUGAAAUUGUCAAAAGGGAAGCGUUUGACACCAGUGUUGUUUUUCUGAAAAUCAACUAAAGAACUGUUUAUGCUAAGCUGUUUAGACUUUAUCAGCUAAUCUGUUUAGUUUUGAGCCUUUCUUUAAUGCACUUUUCAGUUAACAAGUCAACAUCAAUUUCUUUUGCUGUAAAAAAGCUUGAGGAAGGUGGCUUGAGAUUCGUCUUAAGUGUUUAUAGCCUCUUGCCUAUGCAGUCGGAGAGAUUGAGGUCUGCAGCGUAGAUCCUUCGGGGCUAAAUGCAUUUGUGCUAAGUUAUAGCAUUUUCAUAGACAACUUGUUGACUAUGAUUCGUCUUGUAGCUUACUCGCUUAUGUUAUUUUACCUACGCUUAGGAUGUUGAUCUGUAGUGCGUGCGC
rnacentral:rRNA from 1 species